rnacentral:lncRNA from 1 species
GAUGAGGAGUUACCUUGAUCUCUCGUGGUAGAUUGGACUUGCAUAAUAAAUAUGUUUAUUAAGCUUGUUUUAUUUUAUGAGCUUUUUGAUAUGAAUCUAGUCGUUUAUUUCAUGCCGUUUGUGUAAAUAUUUUGUGUUUGUGUAAAGGUAUGGAACUAGAAAUAUAAUCCCAUUAAUGAAUCAUUAAGUCAAUGCAAAAUGAUCGGCUACACGUUCGACAUUUGAGUUCUUACUUUGGUUCGGUUACUGGAGCAAUUUAUAUCGCUCGUCCUCGAGGUGUUUUGCGAGAUAGAAGCUGAUCAGGAAUCUAACUCGCGGGCCAGUGAUGGCCUAAGGACGUGGUUUAUCGAUAUUGUUUUUUCUUUUAUUAUAUGGAUGGUAUUUUAGGUGAUUAGGUCGAUGCGAGCUUGGGUCGUCUGAGACCGCAUGGUAAACUCGCUAAGAAUUCAAGCUUGUGCAAGAAGAGUGUAUUAAACAUUUUGCAGUUGAAUAAGUUUAUUUAUGAAGUUGUGAUGCAAAAUAAUGAAUCAAUAUGAAUCUGAUGACUUAGAAGAUCACAAUAGCUAUGCAAGAAUAUGUAUUAUCUUAUGCACUAUAUUGAUAUGCAUAAAUAGAUUAUAAAGAAUUUUUUACCGCAUGGAUGUCUUUUGGUCCUGGUAACUUUGAGCUAACUGAGAAGUAAAUGUGUUGGACGUUUGAUCAUGUGUUCCUCGUGUAGCUGAUGAGAGGGCGAGGCGUCCGGGAUAUGAAUUAUUUAUUUGGUUCGCAUACAACUCGUCCAUUUCAGAUCAUAUCGAGCGUCCUGUCACUUGUAAGUCUAGACGUAGUUUGAUUAUAAUUGUCUCAAGGAGACGUCUGAUUAGUGUAAACUGCAUCGUAUGGAGACGAGCUCAUGUGAUUGGCAUGAGCUAGGUUCAUUUUUGUUGUGUGUACGAUUCUGGACUUUUAGCCAAUUUGUGUUUAUUUAAUGAAAUAAACAUAAAGAAAUACUCUUCGUGUUCUUCUCGUUCCAUAAUCAGAUGGUGGAGGAAUCUUUUGGUCGUUUCGCAAACGUAAAUGAUUUAAUUACAUAGAAAGCAAGUAAUCUUUUUGGUCCCUCUCUUGCUCAGCCCGAGCUCUCCUUAGGUCUCGAGCUCUCAUGCUCGGAAUGCCGUUUACGGAGCCAGGUCACGUUUGAGGACUUGAGAUAUAAAGCUUUUUCUUUAUUGUGGUCUUGUUUUCGUUUAGAAAUAUGCGUAUCAUUAUGAUUUGUCUAGAUUCGUCGUUUGCUUUCAAAGAAAGUAACUUCAUGGUUAGGUUCGUCCAUGGAACACGUCCUUCGUCUACUAUGCUUUUUUCAAGUUCGAAUCUCGUGAAAAGAGGUCAUUUCGUUUUGAGGAAUCAGUUUUAGCCUUCCUCCAACGAAUUCGAGUUCUAGGAUAAAAUAGAGAUAUCAUUUUUUUUCUUUAUCAGAAGAUGAGGCAGGAGUCUUGCGAGC